rnacentral:rRNA from 1 species
CGCCUGGGGAGUGCGGCCGCAAGGCUAAAACUCAAAGGAAUUGACGGGGCCCCGCACAAGCGGCGGAGCAUGCGGAUUAAUUCGAUGCAACGCGUAGAACCUUACCUGGGUUUGACAUGGAUCGGGAGUGCUCAGAGAUGGGUGUGCCUCUUUUGGGGUCGGUUCACAGGUGGUGCAUGGCUGUCGUCAGCUCGUGUCGUGAGAUGUUGGGUUAAGUCCCGCAACGAGCGCAACCCUUGUUCACUGUUGCCAGCACGUUAUGGUGGGGACUCAGUGGAGACCGCCGGGGUCAACUCGGAGGAAGGUGGGGAUGACGUCAAGUCAUCAUGCCCCUUAUGUCCAGGGCUUCACGCAUGCUACAAUGGCUGGUACAGAGAGUGGCGAGCCUGUGAGGGUGAGCGAAUCUCGGAAAGCCGGUCUCAGUUCGGAUUGGGGUCUGCAACUCGACCUCAUGAAGUCGGAGUCGCUAGUAAUCGCAGAUCAGCAACGCUGCGGUGAAUACGUUCCCGGGGCUUGUACACUCCGCCCGUCAAGUCAUGAAAGUUGGUAACACCCGAAGCCGGUGGCCUAACCGUUGUGGGGGAGCCGUCGAAGGUGGGACUGGUGAUUAGGACUAAGUCGUAACAAGGUAACCGUA